AAAACAUGGGAAGCAGGUCAGCUAACAUAAAUAUGAAAUAUACAGCAGGUGUGCUGAUUUAUAUAAAUAGUACAAUAGCUUGUGUUAAUUUAAAUGAGUUGUAGUUUUGAAUCACUGAUAACAACAAUCACCAACAUCAUUGAUUUUCUGCUCUUCAGUCCUUUGCUUUUGUAAAGUAAAUUAUAAGUUGGACUAAAAGCAAAAAAUAACUUCGGUUUAAAAGUUAUUGUGUUUUCUUUUUUUGGACAUGACACCACUCAGUGUUUCACUUUUAGAGUGUCUUAAUAUGAAAGCAGAAGCAGUGUUGUAGGUGCACUUCCUUUUGAGAAGUGUUCGCACAAGAAGUACGCAAGACACAUGAGAGCUGAUACUUUGAGGUUUAUGAAGGACGCUGUUUGUCCUCCUUUCUUCAGUACGUCAUCUUCUGCACUAUCAGCAGCACUUACACUGCAAAUCGGACAUAUUGAUACUGUUGUGAAAACAAUUGGGAAGCAACCAGAUGUCACUCAAAUAUGCACCAAUGAAACACAGAAGAUCAUCACGCUAAUAGUUUGUACGAUCAGAACUCAGAGAAGUGGAGGAGAAAAUUGUAGUCUGCUGUAUGAAUAUACACGGGGCUUUGAACACAAAUGUGACUCCAGGUUCACACUGAUGAAAGAAAAUCAGACUGUGUUUCUCCACCUGAUCAAUUUAACAUCAGAGGACAGUGGGAGCUACACCUGUCAGUGUACAACUCCUGGAAGAACAAAAAUUCUCCAUCUUAAUGUCACUGUGGAAGAUAAACAAGGUAAACAAGAACUAAGCAGCAGGUCUGGAACAGAAACAGUUCCUCUUACACUGAUUUCUGUAACCGUGUUCAUCAUUGUGAGUUUAGUUAUCUUUGGAUUUAUUCACGCACGACUGCACCAGAGAAAACCAUCUCCUAGACCUCAAAACACGGGGUCAGAGGACAUUGAGCCGUACAGCACCUACAUACGGAGGGAAAGUGGUCUUUAUUCAACUGUUAAAAUGCACGACUCUAAACAGAAUACCAACAGUUCACAUGUGUCAGCAGACACAGUUGAGACAGUCUACGCAGGAGUACAAUAAUAUUAUAUCACAUUUUUCAACACUGACAAUUGUAGUUUGGCAAAUUCACCACAGGGUGGCAUCAUUUGCAAUAUGACUGACAAAUAAAGAACUGACCAGAAUCAGCGGAAAUAGUCAAAUAUUUCAUAUCUAAACACGAUUUCUUUUUAUCAUCUUAGCAUUUUAGUAUUGUGUUUUUAUGUAAAUAUUUUGUUACAAACUGCAGUAAAACUUUAUCCAUCA